rnacentral:rRNA from 1 species
UACGGAGGGUGCAAGCGUUAAUCGGAAUUACUGGGCGUAAAGCGCACGCAGGUGGCUGAGUCAGUCGAUUGUGAAAGCCCUGGGCUUAACCUGGGAAUUGCAGUCGAUACUACUCAGCUAGAGUAUGGGAGAGGGUAGUGGAAUUCCCGGUGUAGCGGUGAAAUGCGUAGAUAUCGGGAGGAACAUCAGUGGCGAAGGCGGCUACCUGGCCCAAUACUGACACUCAGGUGCGACAGCGUGGGAGCAAACAGG